AAAUUUUAUAUGAUGACAAUUUUACACCAAAUACUGAAAAUCAAUGAUUGAUUUGUUUAACAUGCAUCACCAACUGAGGUUAUUG